GCCCGAGUGGCGGAAUAGGUAGACGCGUUGGUCUCAAAAACCAAUGAGAGCAAUCUCGUGCCGGUUCGAUUCCGGCCUCGGGUA
rnacentral:tRNA from 1 species